UGAGUGACUGGAAGGGGUGGAGCCAGGAUCCACCCCUUCCCAGACCUCAUUUAAGGGUUGGCAGUGGAGGCAAGGAUAUCUUGCUGGAGUUCCCUGUGUACCUCAGGCCUUCCAAAGCUACCUUUUUUGACCUGAGAAGAUUGGAAAAGAAGGCUGGAAUUGCAGGAUGCGGAUUUGGCUUCAGUCUUUACCUUGAGGAUUGAAGGAAAAUGAAAGAAAAGAACAUUCGACCACCACAGAUCACCUUCACAUUGCUCCAGCUUGACUGCUCCCUCACCCAUGCGGGGUAUUCGGAGAACUCUGGGAUUUCCCUAACUUGCACUGUGUGCGUACUGUGUCAAAUGGACUUUACCCAUGCAGAUAGUAAUGAGAGUGGAAACUGGAGGUCACUUGAAAACUGUAAGACAGCAACUGCCUUAAAAUCAUUUCAUACACUGACUCAUCAGGUGAAAUGAGAGAUCUCUGAGGAGCUGGGUGGUUCUUUCCCUGCAGCCAGAGUGGGAAUGUCCUGCACAGGUGGUGACAAGACAGGAAAUUGGAAACUUUACUUAGUUUGCUUUCACCUGGUGCUCCACCUCCAUGCAAGAGAUUGGUACUUCCUUACCUCACUCAAAGUGGUGGCAGGCUUUUGUGUGUUAAAAGCUGGGGAGCUUUUCUGGUGUUGCUGUAAUGAAGGCCAUUACAAUCUAGUUGCUUAAUUGAAUUAAAAUGUUAAAACACCUUCUGGUGAUAAUUAAUUGUCUUGAGCAUUGUCUUCAGAUAGAAGUGUUCUUUGGUAUCUCCUGUUUGCAUGCUUGUAAUGAGGAACUACAGCACUUGCUGUGUGUGUAACAUCUCGAGACUUACAAGAAGAGGAGUAGCAAGUUCCUGUUAAUCUACUUCUCCCAUUUAAGAAUGAUAUUUUUACUGAUGUGUAGGAAGUCAAACUUCACUGAUACGGCUAUCUGCAGGUUGACUAAUACUGGGCAAGAAUUAGGAGUGUCCUUAUGGCUUUGAUUAGUGAUAUCUUCACUGUCCUCCUUAGCUAGCGCAAGAAGAGAUCUCCAUCUACCUUCAUUCAACUCUUUGAGGUAUGAAAACUGAUAGUGGAAGUGCAAUGUGUUCAAUAGUAACGUAACAAAUAAUGCAUUUAAUCAGUCUGGCUAUGGGCUACGUGAUUCUUCCACAUCCUGAGGCCUGAUUACCUAUGGACAUCAAUCCAUCUAGCACUUAGCAUAUAUAUUUUAAUCCUUUCUCUUCUUACUCUGCCUUCGUGUUGCCACUUCAAGGAACUGUGACGUACAGUGAUGUGCUGUUGGCAGUGUCUAGUACAAUUUGGGUGUGAUCCCAAUGUAAGCAGGAACCGGUUAUGUCUUUAGAUGCACACAUUCCUUCAUGGACUGAAGAAAAGGGACUGGGUUAUGAUGUACUGAGCUGAUAUGCUGUUCAGUGUCACUUCGUGUCACUUCAGAUUCUAAUCGAGGUUUAAUCAGAGUUCACUGUUUUGCAGCCCAUUGUAUUUUAAAUAAUGCACAUAAAAGCCAGCUGGAAGAUUUUAAAAAAAAUGGAUAAAUUAUUUUUUCAUUUUGACCUACAAGAUGGACUCAGCGAUAGGGCUGAGUCAAUUCUCUUACCUGCUCUAGAAGAAAAUUGUGAACUCCCAUCUUAGAAGUCUUGUAUGCUUGACUGUCUUUUUUUAAGAAAAAAAAAACCUUUUUUUGGAAUGUCUAUGGGAGAAGCAAUGUAUAUCGGUUAAAAAACAAAGCCCCAGGUGAGAACUGAGUCAUGGUAUGUUCUUUGGUUAGACUGCUUUUCAAAGUUCAGGGUAAAGAGAGUGAACAACACAUCAGUAUUUUGCCAGUCUCUUUUCAUGCACUUCAUGUAUAUAAACCUCUAAAUAAUCCCUGCAGUAGAAGUUGACUGAUAUAAAGUCAAAUACAGCUUCAUGAUAAAAUUGACCGUAGGAUGUCUUAAUGAGUGUGUGUAGUGUUCUCUCUUUUUCUUAGCAUUUUGGGUAUUUCAUUCACAGCUGGAUUUAUUUCUUCUCAUCCCUCUUGCCAACAACCUGAAUUGAAUGUUUGAACAUACUGACUGUGUUGUAAGACUGAAAUAUCAACUGGUUCCUCAUUUCUAUGCAAACACACUGAUCUGUGAGCAAAGAGUCAAAAUCAGUGUUGGAGUAAUUGUACUGAAGGCAGACUUGCAACUGUGAUUAACUUAGUUUAUUAUUACUGAAGAAAUUAAUUCCACAUAGGGCAAUUAAGUGCUCAACAUUGCUGCUAAGUGGAAAGAGUCUUGACUUUCAAAGACAAUAGGAACAGAGAGCCCAGUAGCCUCUGUAUUUGCAGUACGCUGCACACCUCAGCUUUUGACCUUUAUGGUAAUGAGAUGGCCAUUCCACAUCACUGAAACCGUAUGUAGAGAGCAAUUUAAAAUAGUGGCUACAUGUCAGACCUGUGAUGCCGGAACAAUGUGCAUGUGACAAAGAGGAAGGUGAUUAUGCAAAGCAGGAGUUACUUUCUCAAACCAAACAAGUCAUGGGCAUCUUCUGUUCAUGACACUUGGGAGAACUGUCAGGCUCCUCUGAGCAAUUUGAAUCAGCCAGCGAAAUGCUUGCAGCCGCGGCUAAACACAAAACUCCUCUCCCCUGCUGAAUGCACAAUCUGCAAUGGAGGAAUUGCAUGCAGGAACCCACCGUGAGGAUUUUAUUAGUUUAAGGGUACAACUUUGAAAAACUUCUUGAAAUGCACAUAACCAGUAUUGGAAUAAAGACUACGUGGCAAUAUCCCCAAUUUAUAACUCAGUACUUGCUGCUGUCUCCCUUUUGUGAAGGGCUCUGGCUUAAAGCAUCUAACUAUUUCAUUUCUAGUUCUGCUCUUUAUGAAGGGAAGGUAACUAUGCACAGUGCUACUGUGAUGAGCUGUUGCAUGUAAACUGGCUGUCUUUGGAACAACGUUGCUUAGCAUUUCUAGUUGCUGUACAACUAAUGAAAAGAGUUUAUGCCUAAAUUCAUUCCUGGUGUAAUUCCAGUGAAGAGAAUGGAGCCAGGCAUGCAUUUAGCGCUGUGUUUUACUUCCCUUCUCUCCAUUACUCAAGUCUAUGAGGCCACUGCAGAGGAGGGAAAUAAAAGAUGGUGAGGAAGAAACAAGAAUGAAUGGACAGCUGUCGACUCUGUAAUUCCACCUGUGCUAGCAUAGAGCCGUGCAAAUGUACCAAAAGAAAAGCAACACAUCACAAGGUUUCCAGCUUUUAUCUGAAGAGCAUCUCUUAUCCAUAGAGAUCAUGGAGAGCUUUACAGUCGUGGAAGUGUGAAUAACACUGUUAAGUCCUUUCAGUCAGAGAGGUGAAAAGGCAGUCAUUGGACUGGGAAAGGGUAAUUGACUGAUGGCUUCUGUGACCCUGCUACUCAAAGAGACAAGGACCUUGUCAGUCAGACAAAAAUUACUACUUGGAAGCAGCACAGAAAUUUAGUCAUUUAGCUCCAGUUAUCAGUGAGUUCUGUGCAUUUUAACCCUUCAUACAAUGCUUUAAAAAUAUAAGAAGCAGCAAAGCUAACAGCACUUUAAAGACACUUAUGCUAUUAAUAAGAAAUAUAGCUGCUCGUUCUUUCCCUUAAAAGUGCAAUUAGAGAAGAGCAGGAGAGUGGGGAAGAUGGUGAAACCUGAGGGGUCCUCUGGGAACUGUGCUCCUACAGGGCUAAUGAUGCUCCGUGGAGCCAUGGGCACGUAGGGAGCAUGGCAUGUGGCUGGAGAAGAAGUCUCAAGGUCACUGCUCCAAUUUUUUUUGCUUUUACACUGAAAAGUAAAAGGAAGGACUCGAGCCUUACAGUGACUGAGAGCAGGUUUUGGCACCAUCUUCCAUUUGUGGCCUCCCUGCCAUAAGAUUAAAGCUUUGCAGUCCAGCAGAGUUUGAGUGACCUUUACAACUUGAGGUCAGGCAGGUUUUUUUUCAUCUGAGCUUCCAAGGCUUUCCUUCUGCUAAUCUUACGAGUAGAAGUGGGAAUUGUUCUUUGCAUGUAAAUGCACCUCUCUCAAAUCAAAGCCUGAAUUAUGACUUCUGGGAGACACCGGGAGAGAUCUGUUCUGUUCCCUCUCUGUUGUGCCGUAGCUCCGAGUACACUAGCUCGUGGAUUUUACCUAAAGAAGAGCUCGGAGGAAACCCAGAGAGGUUUUUGUUAUUGUCAUCAAAUGGACUUGAAAGAAAACAAUUUGCUGUGUUUUGAGACAAAACAAACACUUCUUAUUUUUCUUCCUUG